UACGGAGGGUGCAAGCGUUGUCCGGAUUUAUUGGGUUUAAAGGGUGCGUAGGCGGCCCGUUAAGUCCGUGGUGAAAGCCUCCAGCUCAACUGGAGAACUGCCAUGGAUACUGGCGGGCUUGAGUACAGACGAGGUUGGCGGAAUUGAUUGUGUAGCGGUGAAAUGCAUAGAUACAAUCAAGAACUCCGAUUGCGUAGGCAGCUAACUAGGCUGUAACUGACGCUGAGGCACGAAAGCGUGGGGAGCGAACAGG
rnacentral:rRNA from 1 species